rnacentral:lncRNA from 1 species
AAAACAUUGAAAAAGGGACUGCUCCCAAAGAACUUGAGAGAAGCCCUUAAAAACAAGCUGCCUACCUCUGAUCAUCUCUAUGUUAACCACCAAGACUGACAGGCCUCCGAAGACAGCUCUGCCAAAUGUUGCCGUUUUUGGCCUGCCCUGCCCCUAUCCUUUGCCGAUGAAAGACUUCAGCUGGCAGAGCAACACAAGUGGCUGAAUGUCAAGGAUACAAGCAGCUGAGUGGUGAGCAGAGAAGCAGUGCGCGUCAGAGACUAUGGAUAGACACGGCUAACUUCAGGCGGUGCGGCUUCGGAGAGGAGCCCAGCCAGAGACGGCCGGGCUUCAGGGAAAGAUCACCCUCCC